rnacentral:lncRNA from 1 species
CAGCAUGUAGGAGGACCUUAGCAUAUACUGAGCUAGUCACUUCAUCCCACUGAUAUCAUUUUUUUGAAGGUAUAUUUGACUCAGUUGUGUUUUUUCACUUGUUAAUUGUUUUAGUCAGCUUUUUAUUGAUACAACUGAAAGACCCAACCAGAACAACUGUGGAAGAGGAAAGAUUUAUUUAGGGACUUAUGGUUUCAGAGGUCUCAGUCCCUAAGAGGCUGGCUCCAUUCCUUAAGCCUUAAGGUGAGGGGACAUCAUGGCAGAAGAGUAUGGCAUGAUGAUCAGAAAGCAGAGAGAGACUCCACUCACCAGAUACAAAAUAUACACCCACAGUCCACUGGUUCCUCCUCACAACAUACUUAUGAUCCUGGGUGGGAAGUACAGUACACAACAAUGAAAUAAUUGCCUACAGUUAUAGUGGUUGAGCUGGGAUUCCAACCCAGAUACUCCAGCUCCCAUGUCAAUGGUCUCAAAUCUACACUACAUCACCUUUCCUCAACAAGGGAAUAGUUGUCACCAUCUCCCUCCCUGCAAGUAGGUGAUGCUCUCCCCCUUGUGUUAUUCCUUUUGUAAAGUAUUAUGUUAAUGCUUUUAAGUCAUUAAUGAUAUGAGUCUUAAGUAUGGGUUUGGGGCUUUGCUGUGAUCUAGCACUGAUCUGUAUAAAGUGUGACAAAUUUUAAUAGUGAAAAUAUCAUAGCUUAGUUUGAUGCUAGUUGAAUAGAAUAUUGGAAUUGUGUUAGUCAAGCCUCUGGUAAAAUAUUUUUAUGGUUUUUAAGUAUUAAUUUCAGUGUUUUAAU